rnacentral:rRNA from 1 species
GACGAACCGUGCGAACGUUGUUCGGAAUCACUGGGCUUAAAGGGCGCGUAGGCGGACGUGUCAGUCCGGGGUGAAGGCCCUCGGCCCAACCGAGGAAGGGCCUCGGAGACGGCACGUCUGGAGGGAGGCAGGGGCACGCGGAACUUCCGGUGGAGCGGUGAAAUGCGUUGAGAUCGGAAGGAACGCCGGUGGCGAAAGCGGCGUGCUGGACCUCUUCUGACGCUGAGGCGCGAAAGCCAGGGGAGCGAACGGG